AGAGUUUGAUCCUGGCUCAGGACGAACGCUGGCGGCGUGCUUAACACAUGCAAGUCGAACGAGAAAGUGUUCUUCGGAACAUAAGUAAAGUGGCGAACGGGUGAGUAACACGUAGGGAAUCUGCCUCUAGAUCUGGGAUAACAGCGGGAAACUGCUGCUAAUACCGGAUAUGAUUUUAUGAAGCAUUUCAAAAGAUGGAAAGGAAGCCUCUGCUUGCAAGCUCUGUCUAGAGAUGACCCUGCGGACCAUUAGCUAGUAAGUAAGGUAAAGGCUUACCUAGGCAAUGAUGGUUAGCCGGCCUGAGAGGGCGAUUGGCCACAUUGGGACUGAGACACGGCCCAAACUCCUACGGGAGGCUGCAGUGGGAAUAUUGCGCAAUGGGCGAAAGCCUGACGCAGCGACGCCGCGUGAACGAUGAAGGUCGUAAGAUUGUAAAGUUCUGUCAAGAGGGAAGAAAGUAUGUCAAGUUAAUAGCUAGAUGUAUAUGACGGUACCUCUGGAGGAAGCUCCGGCUAAUUACGUGCCAGCAGCCGCGGUAAUACGUAAGGAGCGAGCGUUGUCCGGAAUCACUGGGCGUAAAGGGCACGUAGGCGGUCUAUUAAGUCAAUGGUGAAAUCAUCGGGCUCAACUCGAUGGCUGCCUUUGAAACUGAUAGACUAGAGGUCGGGAGAGGAAAGCGGAAUUCCUGGUGUAGUGGUGAAAUGCGUAGAUAUCAGGAAGAACACCGAUGGCGAAGGCAGCUUUCUGGACCGACACUGACGCUAAGGUGCGAAAGCGUGGGGAGCAAACAGGAUUAGAUACCCUGGUAGUCCACGCCUUAAACGUUGGGUAUUAGGUGUAGGAGGUAUCGACCCCUUCUGUGACGAAGUUAACGCAUUAAAUACCUCGCCUGGGGACUACGGCCGCAAGGCUAAAACUCAAAGGAAUUGACGGGGGCCCGCACAAGCGGUGGAGCAUGUGGUUUAAUUCGAUUCAACGCGAAAAACCUUACCUAGGUUUGACAUCUCCGGACAACCUGUGAAAGCAGGCUUCCCUUCGGGGCCGGAUGACAGGUGCUGCAUGGCUGUCGUCAGCUCGUGUCGUGAGAUGUUGGGUUAAGUCCCGCAACGAGCGCAACCCUUGUCGUUAGUUACCAGCACCUAAUGGUGGGCACUCUAACGAAACUGCCGGUGAUAAACCGGAGGAAGGUAGGGAUGACGUCAAGUCCUCAUGGCCUUUAUACCUAGGGCUACACACGUGCUACAAUGGAGAGUACAGAGGGCAGCGAACUCGCGAGAGUAAGCGAAUCCCAAAAAACUCUUCUCAGUUCGGAUUGUGGGCUGAAAUUCGCCCGCAUGAAGUUGGAAUCGCUAGUAAUCGCGAAUCAGAAUGUCGCGGUGAAUACGUUCUCGGGCCUUGUACACACCGCCCGUCACACCAUGGAAGUCUGUCAUGCCCGAAGUCGGUGACCUAACCAUGCAAAUGGAGGGAGCUGCCGAAGGCGGGGCCGAUGACUGGGGUGAAGUCGUAACAAGGUAGCCGUAUCGGAAGGUACGGCU
rnacentral:rRNA from 1 species